rnacentral:lncRNA from 1 species
CCAAUUAUCUGCUUAACUCCAAGUCAGUGAAUUCCCCAGUGCUUCCGAGACAAACAAUAGAUAGUAUAAAGACUUUUGGCAGUUGACAGUUCCAUUUGGCUAGGGUUUGUAGCAAAUCCUUCUUAAAACUAAAGCUAUAUUUUUACAAAAUAAAAGCAACUAGCUGAGUUAAUUUCAAGCAGUCACUCAAGAUGUUUGCUUGAUGCAUUAGAAAACCAACUUUUGAAGGAUGUUUGAAUUCUCAUCCCUUUGGACACUACAUGGACACAUGCUCAGAAGAAGAAAGUAGGACUUGCAGUUUCUGCCCUUGAAUGUAAGAAGUCUGGAAGUUGCCGCUGUGCCCUAACAGAGCUGAACACACUAAAAAUCAACCCUUCUUGGAAGUGAAGACACAGAGCAAUCCCCUCUCCUCACAAAUUAGACAGAUGGAGAAGUUUGAUAUGGAGAAUCAGAACUUACCUGGGACAGCAACCAUGAGCAAAACCAAGUUUACAGAUGAUUUUCAUGUAAACUUUCCAACUUCAGUUGAUCAUAGAGCAGAUUAAUCCAGUAUCUCAACAAUACACUUUAAUUUGCUUUUUUGAUUUUGGAGCAGAUAGGCACAUAUUAGGAAGUGUCAAACUCCAUGAGUCUAGCUGAAUAUAGAUGCUCCAUGUGGUGAUUUUCAAUGUACAGGAAGGAAAAUAAAAGUUGAUCAGACAGACCAUCAAAGGAGCUUAACAAAAUCGGGAAGAGCACAAGGACUUCAAGCAAAGACUGGUACAAGAAUUAUUCUUUGACUAGAGAGGCAGCUACUUAAAUGUCUUAAAAGCAUGGAAAACACUCACUUAAUUUUGUCCUAUUCAUCCUCAAUACUAAAAGAAUAAAACAGUUGUUAAUUUUGUGGGUCAGAAGAUUCUAGAACAUGAAAAGGAUCACAUUUUUAUCUGGG